rnacentral:rRNA from 1 species
AUCCUGGCUCAGAGUGAACGCUGGCGGCAGGCCUAACACAUGCAAGUCGAGCGGCAGCGCGUCCGACUACCCUCGGGUGGUCGGAUGGCGGCGAGCGGCGGACGGGUGAGGAAUGCAUCGGAAUCUGCCUCGUUGUGGGGGAUAACGUAGGGAAACUUACGCUAAUACCGCAUACGACCUACGGGUGAAAGUGGGGGACCUUCGGGCCUCACGCGAUGAGAUGAGCCGAUGCCGGAUUAGCUAGUUGGCGGGGUAAAGGCCCACCAAGGCGACGAUCCGUAGCUGGUCUGAGAGGAUGAUCAGCCACACUGGAACUGAGACACGGUCCAGACUCCUACGGGAGGCAGCAGUGGGGAAUAUUGGACAAUGGGGGCAACCCUGAUCCAGCCAUGCCGCGUGCGGGAAGAAGGCCUUCGGGUUGUAAACCGCUUUCGGACGGAAAGAAAUCGCACGGGCUAAUACCCUGUGUGGAUGACGGUACCGUAAGAAGAAGCACCGGCUAACUACGUG